AUUGAACGCUGGCGGCAGGCCUAACACAUGCAAGUCGAGCGAGCGGCGGACGGGGGAGUAAUGUAUGGGGACUGCCCGAUAGAGGGGGAUAACUACUGGAAACGGUAGCUAAUACCGCAUACUAUCGGAUAACCCAUAUGGGAUUAGCUAGUAGGUGUGGUAAUGGCUCACCUAGGCGACGAUCCCUAGCUGGUCUGAGAGGAUGAUCAGCCACACUGGGACUGAGAAACGGCCCAGACUCCUACGGAGGCAGCAGUGGGGAAUAUUGCGCAAUGGGCGCAAGCCGGAUGCAGCCAUGCCGCGUGUAUGAAGAAGGCCCUAGGGUUGUAAAGUACGUUCAGUAGGGAGGCGGUAACGACAGAAGAAGCACCGGCUAACUCCGUGCCAGCCGCCGCGGUAAUAG
rnacentral:rRNA from 1 species